rnacentral:rRNA from 1 species
CCUACGGGAGGCAGCAGUGGGGAAUAUUGCACAAUGGGCGCAAGCCUGAUGCAGCGACGCCGCGUGCGGGAUGGAGGCCUUCGGGUUGUAAACCGCUUUUGUUCAAGGGCAAGGCACGGUCUUUGGCCGUGUUGAGCUGAUUGUUCGCAUAAGCACCGGCUAACUACGUGCCAGCAGCCGCGGUACUACGUUGGGUGCAAGCGUUAUCCGGAUUUAUUUGGCGUAAAGGGCUCGUAGGCGGUUCGUUGCGUCCGGUGUG